rnacentral:lncRNA from 1 species
AUUUGUUUCUCUUUGUUUUGGUUUAGUUUUAGAAGCUUGGUCUCUUAGUAUAAAGGAGACUGCUUGGACCAAACUGCUACAUUUGAUAGAUUAAGUAGUGCAUGUAGUCAGUUGCUGUUGCUAUGUGGGCUAUGAGACACUCAACUCUUGGAAACCAAGUAAUAACACCAGAUUACGCCCACCAGUUCCUUACAAAGCACUCAGUCUAAUGUAGCAACUCGCUACGUCUACCAAAGUAUCAGAGGCAGCAGGAAAACAGUUUGAUAUUCUGGGUGGAAAGGACUCUGAACAAAGACUGUGUUUGAAGUGGUUUAAUCUAGGAAGCCUUCACAGAGGGAGACAGGAAGAGCCUACCGGAGCCUCAAGGAUGCCUAUCAAAGGCCGGAGGGAAGAAGUGAUCCUCCUGAGGGGUAAAGGGAAGAAUACUACCUCACAAAAUAUGGAAGCAGCAGUAGAGAAAGCUGUGUACCAGACGGUUGGUGAACAGGGACACCUACUCUGCCAACACCAUGAUCAGCUGGCGCAACUGAGUGCGACUAUGGAUGAGGUCUUCCACCACCCGAGAGGAUUCACUUGCAAAUAGCGGAGGGCCUUCUACCAGGAGUCGUCCCAGCGAACCAGUCCCCCAGCCUACCCAGCAGUCCGCCCAGGUCAGUGAUGCCCAACUAUCUCACAGACAUAUGACGGGACUCCAUCCAAAUGUCGUGGCUUCCUACUCCAGUGCUCGCUCUGUCGCUCAUCAGACUUGAGGCCCCACCACCGAGAGGUCCUUGGUUUCCCCGGUCAUUUCCCUGCUGACUGGGUGAGCGUUGGAGUGGGCUGUGGCAGUUUGAGAGAGGGGAGAAGAGGAGUUGGGUUCCUAUGAGUGGUUCAUGUCUCUGUUCUCUGGGGGGGUCAAACACCUCUCCAUGACAUCGCUGGAGACAUUGUGUGUCCCUUUUGCGGGCAGGAGGGGCUCCAGUGGUGUCUGGUGCGUCCCAAGCCGAAGUCCACUAGGGCAGAGGGACAGCCAGGCCUAAUCGCCUAUCUCUACCCGACUUCAUUAAUGCUCUUGUGGCUGAAUGGAAGCAAGUCCCCGCAGCAAUGUUCCAACAUCUAGGGGAAAGCCUUCCCAGAAGAGUGGAGGAUGUUAUAGCAGCAAAGAGGUACCAACUGCCAAGUCAUAUGUUUGACGAGCAGGCGUGAAAUCACACCUCUUAAUUAGAAAGAGGAGCCGACUGAAGAUUGCAACAAAAUAUUUAUUGUUACUCCCAUCUAUCACAUGCAUUUAUGUUCGCUUUUCCAAGAGUUUUACAACUGGCAGUUAUGGUGUUCAUAGCAGUCAAACACAUGGAAUAAACCGACACAACACUUAAACUACAAUAACAUUCUGAGUAACGAUUACAGAUUUUUUUUCUUGCUAUGACCGUGAUAUGUUGUUUAUCUACCUUAGUUGAAUGCACAGACUGUAAGUCACUCUGGAGAAGAGCUUCUGCUGAAUGACCUAAAUGUAAAAACAAAACACUUUCAAAGCAUGCUGGGUAUUACUCUAAUAAGCUCUGCCCCCAAACAAGUCCAAAUUUGGCCGGUGCGGACCAGAUCCAAAUCUGAACGAGUCAUAGACGUUUAGGCUAUGUUUCACAAGUUUGAACAUCACAGUACAACACAAGAGUACAGUACGGUACAGGACAGUAGUGAUUUAUUCAGUAUUUUUUUUAAAUUAUAUUUAUUUCACCUUUAUUUAACCAGGUAGGCAAGUUGAGAACAAGUUCUCAUUUACAAUUACGACCUGGCCAAGAUAAAGCAAAGCAGUUCGACACAUACAACAACAGAGUUACACAUGGAGUAAAACACACAUACAGUCAAUAAUACAGUAGAAAAAUAAGUCUAUAUACAAUGUGAGCAAAUGAGGUGAGAUAAGGGAGGUAAAGGCAAAAAAGGCCAUGGUGGCAAAGUAAAUACAAUAUAGCAAGUAAAACAGUGGAAUGGUAGAUUUGUAGUGGAAGAAAGUGCAAAGUAGAAAUAGAAAUAAUGGGGUGCAAAGGAGCUAAAUAAAUACAGUAGGGGAAGAGGUAGUUGUUUUGGCUAAACGAUAGAUGGGCUAUGUACAGGUGCAGUGAUCUGUGAGCUGCUCUGACAGCUGGUGCUUAAAGCUAAGUACAGUAGAGUACAGUAGUUUAAUUCAGUACAGUAGGGUACAAUACAGAACACUUUACUUUACUGUACUCUAGUGUGCUCUACUGUAUUUUACUGUACUAUACACUUCUGUACUGUGUGCUGUACUCUGCUGUGCUCAAGGCUGGUCCGGACCAAAUCUGAACCAAUUAGAGACGUCUAUUUUUGGGCUAAAUCCAGGUCGGUCCGGACUGCACCAAUAAAAUACCAAAAGAAGUCACCUGAAGUCAAAUGCUAGGUGGGAUGUUUGUGAUUAUUCACUAAUGUCAGACAAAAACAAAACACAGUACAGUCAUAACAUAAAUGUAUUCAAAAGACAUCUAGGUCAUUACACGAAAUGAGUGCCUUUUGCAUCCCUUUCAUAUUUCAAAUUGAAAUUGUGCCCCAAUAUUGUAUUUUAAAAGCCUGCUAUAUUAAAGUGCCAUUUAAUAUAGACCACAUGGAGAAUUCAGUCAAUCUGAUUUUUAAUAGGAAUCUUGAUAUGUCCCUCCGGCACCCUCUGUGACUUCUAUGAAGAUUUUAACCCACUUAAGCCCUAUAUUUCUUCAAGUUUUCACCAUCACUGUAAAACCUUAGUUCUUUUUUUGCUUUGAAAAAGUCAUUUCGGAAGAUUCGUAUUUAUUUUAUGUGAUUAGUGAUAUAUUUACGUCUGUCCCUCACUUUAAGGUCAACCCUGUAACGUGAACUGAACUCUUGUCUUAAUAUGGUGAAAAUAUUCCAUUAAAAAAAAUCUAAAACAUUUAACAUCUAAUUAAUUAAAACAUGGUGUAAAAGCAGGUGAGCUGGCUGUAUUCUUUUAUGCCAUUUCCUUGGUUUUUUGGGGUGUAAAACUGAGCCGGUCGACCAUAACACGUCAACCCUGUUACACAUAGAUAAAAAUGUUUAAACAAUUUAAACAUUUUUGUGAAGCUUGCAUUCAAUUGCCACUCACUGUUGCACACAACAAGGUUAUUUAUAGCUGAUUUAAGGUUAAAUUGUCAACCCUGUUAUGGUCAACUCUGUUACUUUAUUUGGCACUUAAUAGACACUUAGUAAUUUUUUGGGGGUUAAAAUGAGGUUAAAUCAAAAAAAAUGUAUGACCAAGUUAGACUUCUCGAAAGGUACCAAACUGAUGGAAUGACCCGUCUAUGUAACACAAGUUUGGACAGUACAGUACAGAGUUUAAUUCAACAGAGUACAGUUUUAUUCAGUUGUGUACAGCACAUUAGAGUACAAUAGACUACAGUUGAGUUUAAUUCAGUAGAGUAUAGUAGGAUACAAUACAGUACAUUAUACUGUACUCUACCCUACUGUGCUGUACUCUACUCUACUAUACUGAACUAUACUCUAAUUUACUAUACUGUAUCCUACUUUGCUCUACUGUACUGAACUAUACUAUACUUUUCUUUUCUGUACUGUAUGCUGUGUUUUACAAACUUGUGAAACUUGGACUUCUAUUCGUUCAGAUUUGGUCCGGUCCGACCUGCUUGUCAAAACGGACACACACGCAUACACACACACAGAUGCACGCACACAGACAGACAUACGCACACACAAACAUACCUGUUCCUAUUUGAAAGAGCGCUCUUUGUUUUCAACAAAAAAGUGUUGACUUUACUUUUUUUACUUUAUCAAAAUAUUUUAUUUUCAUCCAAAUAUCAGAUGGUUACUGUUUGUUUUAUUAAGCAUUAACAUGAUGAUUUGAGUGGAG